rnacentral:rRNA from 1 species
GUUUGAUCAUGGCUCAGAUUGAACGCUGGCGGCAGGCUUAACACAUGCAAGUCGAGCGGGGGAAGGUAGCUUGCUACUGGACCUAGCGGCGGACGGGUGAGUAAUGCUUAGGAAUCUGCCUAUUAGUGGGGGACAACAUCUCGAAAGGGAUGCUAAUACCGCAUACGUCCUACGGGAGAAAGCAGGGGAUCUUCGGACCUUGCGCUAAUAGAUGAGCCUAAGUCGGAUUAGCUAGUUGGUGGGGUAAAGGCCUACCAAGGCGACGAUCUGUAGCGGGUCUGAGAGGAUGAUCCGCCACACUGGGACUGAGACACGGCCCAGACUCCUACGGGAGGCAGCAGUGGGGAAUAUUGGACAAUGGGGGGAACCCUGAUCCAGCCAUGCCGCGUGUGUGAAGAAGGCCUUAUGGUUGUAAAGCACUUUAAGCGAGGAGGAGGCUACUUUAGUUAAUACCUAGAGAUAGUGGACGUUACUCGCAGAAUAAGCACCGGCUAACUCUGUGCCAGCAGCCGCGGUAAUACAGAGGGUGCGAGCGUUAAUCGGAUUUACUGGGCGUAAAGCGUGCGUAGGCGGCUUAUUAAGUCGGAUGUGAAAUCCCCGAGCUUAACUUGGGAAUUGCAUUCGAUACUGGUGAGCUAGAGUAUGGGAGAGGAUGGUAGAAUUCCAGGUGUAGCGGUGAAAUGCGUAGAGAUCUGGAGGAAUACCGAUGGCGAAGGCAGCCAUCUGGCCUAAUACUGACGCUGAGGUACGAAAGCAUGGGGAGCAAACAGGAUUAGAUACCCUGGUAGUCCAUGCCGUAAACGAUGUCUACUAGCCGUUGGGGCCUUUGAGGCUUUAGUGGCGCAGCUAACGCGAUAAGUAGACCGCCUGGGGAGUACGGUCGCAAGACUAAAACUCAAAUGAAUUGACGGGGGCCCGCACAAGCGGUGGAGCAUGUGGUUUAAUUCGAUGCAACGCGAAGAACCUUACCUGGCCUUGACAUACUAGAAACUUUCCAGAGAUGGAUUGGUGCCU